rnacentral:tRNA from 1 species
GCCGAGGUGGCGGAAUUGGCAGACGCGUGCGUUUAAGGGGCGUAUGUGGAGACACGUGCGGGUUCAAGUCCCGCCCUCGGCACCA